UACAGAGGCCACAAGCGUUAGACGGAAUCACUGGGCUUAAAGCGUGUGUAGACGGGAUGGUAAGUACCUUGUGAAAUCCCACAGCUUAACUGUGGAAAUGCUUGGUAUACUGCCGUUCUUGAGUCACCUAGGGGCAGCUGGAACAGAUGGUGGAGCGGUGAAAUGCAUAGAUAUCAUCUGGAACGCCAAUGGUGCAGACAAGCUGCUGGGGGGUGUACUGACGCUGAGGCACGAAAGCCAGGGGGAGCAAAACGGGG
rnacentral:rRNA from 1 species